rnacentral:rRNA from 1 species
GACGAACGCUGGCGGCGUGCUUAACACAUGCAAGUCGAACGGAAAGGCCCUGCUCUUGUGGGGUGCUCGAGUGGCGAACGGGUGAGUAACACGUGAGUAACCUGCCCUUGUCUUUCGGAUAACUUCAGGAAAAUGGGGCGAAUACCGGAUAGGAGCUCCUGCUGCAUGGUGGGCGUUGGAAAGUGUCGGCGGUUGGGGAUGGACUCGCGGCUUAUCAGCUUGUUGGUGGGGUAGUGGCUUACCAAGGCUUUGACGGGUAGCCGGCCUGAGAGGGUGACCGGCCACAAUGGGACUGAGAUACGGCGCAGACUCCUACGGGAGGCAGCAGUGGGGAAUAUUGCACAAUGGGCGGAAGCCUGAUGCAGCAACGCCGCGUGCGGGAUGACGGCCUUCGGGUUAUGAACCGCUUUCGCCUGUGACGAAGCGUUAGUGACGGUAAUGGGUAAAGAAGCCCCGGCUAACUACGUG